rnacentral:rRNA from 1 species
GGAAAGGCGCGCGAUACAGGGUGACAGCCCCGUACACAAAAAUGCACAUGCUGUGAGCUCGAUGAGUAGGGCGGGACACGUGGUAUCCUGUCUGAAUAUGGGGGGACCAUCCUCCAAGGCUAAAUACUCCUGACUGACCGAUAGUGAACCAGUACCGUGAGGGAAAGGCGAAAAGAACCCCGGCGAGGGGAGUGAAAAAGAACCUGAAACCGUGUACGUACAAGCAGUGGGAGCACAGAGCAAUCUGUGUGACUGCGUACCUUUUGUAUAAUGGGUCAGCGACUUAUAUUCUGUAGCAAGGUUAACCGAAUAGGGGAGCCGAAGGGAAACCGAGUCUUAACUGGGCGUUAAGUUGCAGGGUAUAGACCCGAAACCCGGUGAUCUAGCCAUGGGCAGGUUGAAGGUUGGGUAACACUAACUGGAGGACCGAACCGACUAAUGUUGAAAAAUUAGCGGAUGACUUGUGGCUGGGGGUGAAAGGCCAAUCAAACCGGGAGAUAGCUGGUUCUCCCCGAAAGCUAUUUAGGUAGCGCCUCGUGAAUUCAUCUCCGGGGGUAGAGCACUGUUUCGGCAAGGGGGUCAUCCCGACUUACCAACCCGAUGCAAACUGCGAAUACCGGAGAAUGUUAUCACGGGAGACACACGGCGGGUGCUAACGUCCGUCGUGAAGAGGGAAACAACCCAGACCGCCAGCUAAGGUCCCAAAGUCAUGGUUAAGUGGGAAACGAUGUGGGAAGGCCCAGACAGCCAGGAUGUUGGCUUAGAAGCAGCCAUCAUUUAAAGAAAGCGUAAUAGCUCACUGGUCGAGUCGGCCUGCGCGGAAGAUGUAACGGGGCUAAACCAUGCACCGAAGCUGCGGCAGCGACGCUUAUUCGUUGUUGGGUAGGGGAGCGUUCUGUAAGCCUGUGAAGGUGUACUGUGAGGUAUGCUGGAGGUAUCAGAAGUGCGAAUGCUGACAUAAGUAACGAUAAAGCGGGUGAAAAGCCCGCUCGCCGGAAGACCAAGGGUUCCUGUCCAACGUUAAUCGGGGCAGGGUGAGUCGACCCCUAAGGCGAGGCCGAAAGGCGUAGUCGAUGGGAAACAGGUUAAUAUUCCUGUACUUGGUGUUACUGCGAAGGGGGGACGGAGAAGGCUAUGUUGGCCGGGCGACGGUUGUCCCGGUUUAAGCGUGUAGGCUGGUUUUCCAGGCAAAUCCGGAAAAUCAAGGCUGAGGCGUGAUGACGAGGCACUACGGUGCUGAAGCAACAAAUGCCCUGCUUCCAGGAAAAGCCUCUAAGCAUCAGGUAACAUCAAAUCGUACCCCAAACCGACACAGGUGGUCAGGUAGAGAAUACCAAGGCGCUUGAGAGAACUCGGGUGAAGGAACUAGGCAAAAUGGUGCCGUAACUUCGGGAGAAGGCACGCUGAUAUGUAGGUGAAGUCCCUCGCGGAUGGAGCUGAAAUCAGUCGAAGAUACCAGCUGGCUGCAACUGUUUAUUAAAAACACAGCACUGUGCAAACACGAAAGUGGACGUAUACGGUGUGACGCCUGCCCGGUGCCGGAAGGUUAAUUGAUGGGGUCAGCGCAAGCGAAGCUCUUGAUCGAAGCCCCGGUAAACGGCGGCCGUAACUAUAACGGUCCUAAGGUAGCGAAAUUCCUUGUCGGGUAAGUUCCGACCUGCACGAAUGGCGUAAUGAUGGCCAGGCUGUCUCCACCCGAGACUCAGUGAAAUUGAACUCGCUGUGAAGAUGCAGUGUACCCGCGGCAAGACGGAAAGACCCCGUGAACCUUUACUAUAGCUUGACACUGAACAUUGAGCCUUGAUGUGUAGGAUAGG